rnacentral:rRNA from 1 species
UGGGGAAUAUUGGACAAUGGGGGGAACCCUGAUCCAGCCAUGCCGCGUGUGUGAAGAAGGCCUUAUGGUUGUAAAGCACUUUAAGCGAGGAGGAGGGUACUGGUAUUAAUACUACCAGGUACUGGACGUUACUCGCAGAAUAAGCACCGGCUAACUCUGUGCCAGCAGCCGCGGUAAUACAGAGGGUGCGAGCGUUAAUCGGAUUUACUGGGCGUAAAGCGUGCGUAGGCGGCUGAUUAAGUCGGAUGUGAAAUCCCUGAGCUUAACUUAGGAAUUGCAUUCGAUACUGGUCAGCUAGAGUAUGGGAGAGGAUGGUAGAAUUCCAGGUGUAGCGGUGAAAUGCGUAGAGAUCUGGAGGAAGACCGAUGGCGAAGGCAGCCAUCUGGCCUAAUACUGACGCUGAGGUACGAAAGCAUGGGGAGCAAACAGG